UGUGGUUAGGGGUGAAAUGCCAAUCGAACUCGGAGCUAGCUGGUUCUCCCCGAAAUGUGUUUAGGCGCAGCGGUUGUGAUUAUAGUUUGGGGGUAAAGCACUGUUUCGGUGCGGGCGGCGAAAGCUGUACCAAAUCGAGACAAACUCAGAAUACCAAAUGCACACACAACCAGACAGACGGUGGGGGAUAAGCUUCAUCGUCAAGAGGGAAACAGCCCAGACCACCAGCUAAGGUCCCCAAAUUGUCACUAAGUGAUAAAGGAGGUGGGAGUGCAAAGACAACCAGGAGGUUUGCCUAGAAGCAGCCAUCCUUGAAAGAGUGCGUAAUAGCUCACUGGUCAAGCGCUCCUGCGCCGAAAAUGAACGGGGCUAAGUGACGUACCGAAGCUGUGGGAUAAGAAAUUAUCGGUAGGGGAGCGUUCUGUUGUAGGGCGAAGCACUAGCGGCAAGCAGGUGUGGACGAAACAGAAGUGAGAAUGUCGGCUUGAGUAGCGAAAACAUUGGUGAGAAUCCAAUGCCCCGAAACCCUAAGGGUUCCUCCGGCAGGUUCGUCCGCGGAGGGUUAGUCAGGACCUAAGGCGAGGCCAAACGGCGUAGUCGAUGGACAACGGGUGAUUAAUCCCGUACUGAUUUUGGUUUGUGCAGAGGGACGGAGAAGGCGAACACUAGCCAGAAGUUGGUUACUGGUGCAAGCGUUCGAGGCGAUGAGAAGCGGCGAAAACGCUUUGAGCUAAGGCGCGAGUCCGAGUGUCUACGGACGCGAAGUAGUGGAGUCAAGCUUCCCAGAAAAGCUCGGUGGCACGUUAAGCCAAAAUUACCUGUACCCGAAACCGACACAGGUAGGGAGGUUGAGAAUACCAAGGGGCGCGAGAUAACUCUCUCUAAGGAACUCGGCAAAAUGGCCCCGUAACUUCGGAAGAAGGGGUGCCCACCUCAGACGUGGGUCGCAGUGAAGAGAUCCAGGCGACUGUUUACCAAAAACACAGGUCUCCGCAAAAUCGUAAGAUAAAAUAUGGGGGCUGACGCCUGCCCAGUGCCGGAAGGUUAAGGAAGUUUGUUAUGUAUUAAUACAGAAGCGAGCGACUGAAGCCCCGGUGAACGGCGGCCGUAACUAUAACGGUCCUAAGGUAGCGAAAUUCCUUGUCGGGUAAGUUCCGACCCGCACGAAAGGCGUAACGAUCU
rnacentral:rRNA from 1 species